GGACUACCGGGGUAUCUAAUCCCGUUUGCUCCCCCAGCUUUCGCGCCUCAGCGUCAAGUGGGCCCCAGGAGACCGCCUUCGCCACUGGUGUUCCUACCGAUCUCUACGCAUUUCACCGCUACACCGGUAAUUCCAUCUCCCCCUAGCCACUUCAAGACUGGCAGUAUCCACCGACCCUCCGGAGUUGAGCUCCGGGCUUUCACAGCAGACUUGCCAACCCGCCUACGCGCGCUUUACGCCCAGUAACUUCGGACAACGCUCGCCCCCUACGUAUUACCGCGGCUGCUGGCAC
rnacentral:rRNA from 1 species